rnacentral:lncRNA from 1 species
AAACUCAAACAGUUCCUUAUCUCAUCCUUAUCUUUUAUGAUCGGUAACAAUUAAAAGGAUUUUGUUUUUGUGUGCCGAUCCUAAGAGAGAAAUUCUACCAUGAGAUCCUAGAAAUGAGAGGGGUUGAACCUUAGUUUGGGGGUGUGAGAUCUAGGGUGGGUUGCCAUCCUUUGGUGUGAGAGCUUAGAAGAGAACCGUCUAUUCUUUGGUGAGUGUACUAGCCCUAAGCAUUAGAGUUUUUGGAAGAGAGAGUUAAGAUCAGAGAAAAGUUAUUUUCUCUAAUUUUCUUCUAAUGACUAGCAACCUCCGUCGAUCUAUUUUCAACCUCGAAAGGAUCCGAGAUGAUUUCAGAAGAAGAUCAAAUCAGAUCAGCCA